CUUUUUCUGCACGUGACUCGGGAGACAAAAUCGGGGGGAUUCAUUCAGUGCUGGACGGUCUUCUUACCUGUGAUAACAGGUGAAACGAACACAAACGCGCUAAUUUCCUGUUGCCUCUGAAUAACAAGAAGGGAACCGAGACCGAGACAAACACCCAGCAGCGCUCUGCCUCGGUUCUACUGAGCCCGCGCGGACAGGUGAACAGCCUAUCGGCAUCAUCCUGCUGCCACAUGUUGAGCUCAGACACGGUGGCGAGGCGCCAGUCAAGUCGAGUUAGAGCGACGGGAUCCAGACGAAAUGCAGAGCCGAUCCAGGACUACAGCAAACCGGGGCUUAAGGAGAAAUGCUAAUAAAGCUGGUUAAACGGAAGCAGAUGAAGCUGAUAAUAAAAUGGCUGAAAGCACCGGCUGCUGCGGCGACUGAUGGAGCUCUGAGAUCGUCUCUGCAUACAGAACACUCACUCCCAUUUUCCGGGUUCACAGGUGUGGGUGUUAAAGCUGCGCAUGCGUAAAAUUGCAACCACAGAACAGUGGAACCGAUAUCUCACUCUGACACAAUUUCUAGACACCAAACUAACAAAACUGAAUGUUUAAUAAUAAAUCCUGUUUUUCAAAUUAAA